CCUACGGGCGGCAGCAGUGGGGAAUAUUGGACAAUGGGGGCAACCCUGAUCCAGCCAUGCCGCGUGUGUGAAGAAGGCCCUCGGGUUGUAAAGCACUUUCAGUGAGGAAGAACGCCUGGUGGUUAAUACCCAUCAGGAAAGACAUCACUCACAGAAGAAGCACCGGCUAACUCCGUGCCAGCAGCCGCGGUAAUACGGAGGGUGCGAGCGUUAAUCGGAAUUACUGGGCGUAAAGCGCGCGUAGGUGGCUUGAUAAGCCGGUUGUGAAAGCCCCGGGCUCAACCUGGGAACGGCAUCCGGAACUGUCAAGCUAGAGUGCAGGAGAGGAAGGUAGAAUUCCCGGUGUAGCGGUGAAAUGCGUAGAUAUCGGGAGGAAUACCAGUGGCGAAGGCGGCCUUCUGGACUGACACUGACACUGAGGUGCGAAAGCGUGGGUAGCAAACAGGAUUAGAUACCCGGGUAGUC
rnacentral:rRNA from 1 species